rnacentral:rRNA from 1 species
UUCUGGUUGAUCCUGCCAGUAGUCAUAUGCUUGUCUCAAAGAUUAAGCCAUGCAUGUCUAAGUAUAAACAACUUUGUACUGUGAAACUGCGAAUGGCUCAUUAAAUCAGUUAUAGUUUAUUUGAUGGUUCUUGCUACAUGGAUAACUGUGGUAAUUCUAGAGCUAAUACAUGCAAUUAAGCCCCGACUUCUGGAAGGGGUGUAUUUAUUAGAUAAAAACCAUCCCCUUUGGGUCUUGGUGAAUCAUAAUAACUUCUCGGAUCGCAUGGCCUUGUGCCGGCGAUGCUUCAUUCAAAUAUCUGCCCUAUCAACUGUCGAUGGUAGGAUAGAGGCCUACCAUGGUUGCAACGGGUAACGGGGAAUUAGGGUUCGAUUCCGGAGAGGGAGCCUGAGAAACGGCCCUCAGGUCUAAGGACACGCAGCAGGCGCGCAAAUUAUCCCCUGGCAACACUUUGCCGAGAUAGUGACAAUAAAUAACAAUGCAGGGCUCUUACGGGUCUUGCAUUGGAAUGAGUACAGUUUAAAUCCCUUAACGAGGAUCAAUUGGAGGGCAAGUCUGGU